rnacentral:lncRNA from 1 species
UGCCGCCCUAUCACUAGCUCUCCCAUGGUUUUUUUCAGGCUCCCGCUCCCUCGAUUUCUCUACAGCUUCUUGAUCUGCUCUCCUUAGUCUCUUUGUUCGAGGUGAGGGUGAACGAGAUUCAGGUAACAUUCUGUCAGAAUCCUUUUCCCUAUGUGUAGCCCUAUCACUAGCUCUCCCAUGAUUUUUUUCAGGCUCCCGCUCCCUUGGCUUUUCUUCAGCUUCUCGUUCUGCUCUUCUUAGUCUUUUUGUUCGUGGUGAGGGUGAGCGAGAUUCAGGCAACAUUCUGUCAGAAUCCUUUUCCCUAUGUGUAGCCCCUAUCACUAGUCUCUCCCAUGAUUUUUUUCAGGCUCCCGCUCCCUUGGCUUUUCUUCAGCUUCUCGUUCUGCUCUUCUUAGUCUUUUUGUUCGUGGUGAGGGUGAGCGAGAUUCAGGCAACAUUCUGUCAGAAUCCUUUUCCCUAUGUGUAGCCCUAUCAUUAGAUCUCCUGUGAUUCUUCUCAGGAUCCCGCUCACUCAAUUUUUCUUCAGUCUCUCUUUCUGCUCUCCUCAGUCUUUUUGUUCGUGGUGAGGGUGAGCGCGGUUCAGG